rnacentral:rRNA from 1 species
CCUACGGGCGGCAGCAGUGAGGCAUAUUGGUCAAUGGGCUUACGCCUGAACCAGCCAAGUCGCGUGAGGGAAGACUGCCCUAUGGGUUGUAAACCUCUUUUGUCAGGGAGCAACGCCGGCUACGUGUAGCCGGACUGAGAGUACCUGAAGAAAAAGCAUCGGCUAACUCCGUGCCAGCAGCCGCGGUAAUACGGAGGAUGCGAGCGUUAUCCGGAUUUAGUGGGUGUAAAGGGGGCGCAGACGGCGAUGCAAGCCAGGAGUGAAAGCCCGGGGCCCAACCCCGGGACUGCUCUUGGAACUGCGUGGCUAGAGUGCAGGAGGGGCAGGCGGAAUUCCUGGUGUAGCGGUGAAAUGCGUAGAUAUCACGCAGAACUCCGAUUGCGAAGGCAGCAUACCGGCGCCCAACUGACGCUGAAGCACGAAAGCGUGGGUAUCGAACAGGAUUAGAUACCCUAGUAGUC